rnacentral:rRNA from 1 species
UACGUAGGGGGCAAGCGUUGUCCGGAUUUAUUGGGCGUAAAGAGCGUGUAGGCGGCCUGAAAGGUCAGCUGUGAAAACUCGAGGCUCAACCUCGAGACGUCGGUUGAAACCAUCUGGCUAGAGUCCGGAAGAGGAGUGUGGAAUUCCCGGUGUAGCGGUGAAAUGCGCAGAUAUCAGGAGGAACACCGGUGGUGUAGACGGCUCUCUGGACCGUAACUGACGCUGAGGCACGAAAGCGUGGGUAGCAAACAGG